rnacentral:rRNA from 1 species
GACGAACCGUGCGAACGUUGCUCGGAAUCACUGGGCGUAAAGGGUGCGUAGGCGGGUCUUUUAAGUCAGGGGUGAAAUCCUGGAGCUCAACUCCAGAACUGCCUUUGAUACUGAGGAUCUUGAGUUCGGGAGAGGUGAGUGGAACUGCGAGUGUAGAGGUGAAAUUCGUAGAUAUUCGCAAGAACACCAGUGGCGAAGGCGGCUCACUGGCCCGAUACUGACGCUGAGGCACGAAAGCGUGGGGAGCAAACAGG